UAAUACGGAGGGGGCAAGCGUUGUCCGGACUUACUGGGCGUAAAGGGUGCGUAGGCGGCCUGCUGCGUCGGUGCUGAAAGCGCCCGGCUUAACCGGGCGAGGCGUGCCGAUACGAGCGGGCUGGAGCCUUGGCGAGGGUGGCGGAACUCCUGGUGUAGUGGUGAAAUGCGUAGAGAUCAGGAAGAACACCCGUGGCGCAAGCGGCCACCUGGCCAAGAGCUGACGCUGAGGCACGAGAGCGUGGGGAGCGAACCGGAUUAGAUACCCGGGUAGUCCACGCCGUAAACGAUGUCGACUCGGUGUGCGGGGCGCGAAAGCGCGCUGUGUGCCUAAGCUCACGCGAGAAGUCGACCGCCUGGGGACUACGAGCGCAAGCUUA
rnacentral:rRNA from 1 species